GAUAAGGAUAAUAAUAAAUUAAGACAAGCGAAAUUACAAAAAAAAUUUUAUUUUUCCAUAAUUUUCCGCCAUAAUUAUUGCAGAAGACAUAAAGGGGAGUCAAUUUUCGCUCCGUAUUCAAACAGAGGAGAGAAGUUUUCUGCUUUGCUUGUCAUGUAAAACACUCCUCGAUUGCAAAUUUUUUGCAAGUUUUCUUCAUUUCUGUGGUUUACAAAAGAAUUCAUCAAUCCAAAGCUCACUCCUUGGUUCCAGUUCUUCGCAGGAAAUUGUUUCGUUGAGUAUACAUUGACGCCUUUGAUACUCCAAACUCAUCAGCUCCAGCAGACAUGGAUCAAAGUGCUGCUGUUGAGGAGGUAGGGAAUUUGAGGAACAACCUUGAGCUUGCAAAAUCAGUCUCUGAUAAACAUCUUGAUCUUUUGAGGCCAUCUGCUCGAUACUAUUCAGUAUUUAAAGGGCAAGCACCAGAUGCCACGGAAAAAGGCAAGUAUACCCUUAUCAAAGAUGUAGAGGACUUCCAGACAGGGAUUUUUGACAAACCUCUUCCAUGCUUUGGCUGUGGGAUAGGAUGGUUCUCCUUCCUCUUAGGAUUUGUGUGCCCAUUGAUGUGGUACUAUGCUACAUUUCUUUAUUUUGGAAAUCACUACCGCAAAGAUCCUAGGGAGAGAGCAGGCCUUGCUGCUUCCGCAAUUGCUGCAAUGGCAUGCUCUGUUGUACUGCUGAUCAUAAUAGUUUUUAUUCUAUUUUCAACCUAAGCACCUAGAAUUCGAAGUAUGCUCCUCACACCUUUAUCCAUGUUGAGUUCAAAGGAAUUGCAUGCAAAUCAAAUAUUGAAUGCUUGGGCGGCAAUGUGGAAACUGUUGCCCCACAAGCAUGCUAUAUGAGAAACAGUACCGACCUGUCCCAUCUGCUGAGCAUCCUUGUAAAGACAACAGAUAUUGGAGAAAUGUUUUGUUUACAGGAAUUCAUACAAGAAAUUAUACCUGGCCUUUGAUAGAACCAUGAAAUUUGAGGCUAUUUUUAUUUGCUGACUCAGGUGACGGCUAACCGGUCGAAAUGACAACCAAGUGAAAUUGCUAGCUCUAUAAGAAUAACCUUCCGCCAGGUGCUGAUUAUAUGCUUGUUGGACCAAUGGAGGAAAGAAUUUGCAUUGACAUCUUAAUCUGUACUCCAGCGAGUCCAGGAAAGGUCUUGAAUCAAUCUUCCUCGGCGCCUUAUAACGAAUUUUUUUAAUACACCGGCGGAGUCUCAAUUAAUUAUAGUCUUUAAACAAUAAUCCAGCAGCAUAAAAUAGGCGGCUAACUUGCCCAAAUAAAUAAAUAAACAGAACAUGCGGCU